rnacentral:rRNA from 1 species
GACGAACGCUGGCGGCGUGCCUAAUACAUGCAAGUCGAGCGAAGCGGCGGAUGGGUGAGUACUGCGUGGGUAACCUGGCCUUAAGCUGGGGAUACUAUUUGGAAACAGAUGCUAAUACCGGAUACUUAACGAGGGGCCUGCGUUGCAUUAGCCAGUUGGUACGGUAACGGCUUACCAAGGCGAUGAUGCAUAGCCGAGUUGAGAGGCUGAUCGGCCACAUUGGGACUGAGACACGGCCCAAACUCCUACGGGAGGCAGCAGUAGGGAAUCUUCCACAAUGGACGAAAGUCUGAUGGAGCAACGCCGCGUGAGUGAAGAAGGUUUUCGGAUCGUAAAGCUCUGUUGUUGGGGAAGCGGUAAUCAACCAGAAAGUCACGGCUAACUACGUGCCAGCAGCCGCGGUAAUAC